rnacentral:sRNA from 1 species
UAAGUUUCACUUCUACCGUGUGUGACCGC